rnacentral:misc_RNA from 1 species
AGUGGACAGUGAUCCACUGUUUACCAGUACAGCAGAGAGAUGGAAAGGGUACAUGAAAGGGAAGCUGUCGCCCCACAAUUAGAAUACAACUUCUUUUUAUUUGUUUUCAUUUUAAAGGAAAUGUGAUAUUCUUUCUCUUUUUUUUUCUAAUAGUAUGUGGUAUCAUACACAGAUGAGGCAUAAAGCUGUGUUUUAUUUAGUCAUUCCAAUUCUUUUCUAUUUUACCUAAAGUCUUUAACUUAUUUUAUGAUUUUUCUGUUGGUGCUUAUUUGUUCAAUGAACUGUAGAUCUAGGAAAACUAUACGAUUAUAAUUUUAUUACAUGGUUAAGACAUGUAGGGCAUCAAAUUAAACUGAAUAAUUGUUGUAUAAACGAAAAAAAGAAUUUCGUUUGAUCAUUUCAAAAAAAAUUUAAUUUGUUGUUGUUUUUUUUAAAGAUGUAAGUAAACUAUUAUUUAGUU